rnacentral:rRNA from 1 species
GAUGAACGCUGGCGGCGUGCCUAAUACAUGCAAGUCGAGCGAACAGACGAGAGUGCUUGCACUCUCUGACGUUAGCGGCGGACGGGUGAGUAACACGUGGGUAACCUACCUAUAAGACUGGGAUAACUUCGGGAAACCGGAGCUAAUACCGGAUAAUAUUUAGCUUCGCAUGAAGCAAUAGUGAAAGACGGUUCUGCUGUCACUUAUAGAUGGACCCGCGGUGUAUUAGCUAGUUGGUGAGGUAACGGCUCACCAAGGCAACGGUACAUAGCCGACCUGAGAGGGUGAUCGGCCACACUGGGACUGAGACACGGCCCAGACUCCUACGGGAGGCAGCAGUAGGGAAUCUUCCGCAAUGGACGAAAGUCUGACGGAGCAAUGCCGCGUGAGUGAAGAAGGUUUUCGGAUCGUAAAACUCUGUUGUAAGGGAAGAACAAGUACGUUAGUAACUGAACGUACCUUGACGGUACCUUACCAGAAAGCCACGGCUAACUACGUG